rnacentral:lncRNA from 1 species
GACUAUCGCUAGCUCCAUUUUGUCGCUACUCCAGUCCAUAUUCUGCGCUCAUUCAUUUUAUUCUACUUCAAUCCUCCUUAUCUUGAAUUCGACACUCUGGGUUUGGUCUCUUCGGUCCGUUAGGACCAUGCUGUGAGUAGGCUUUACAUUUAUAACCGUUAAUCUUUUGGUUUAUGCUAUUAUGAGUUUUUAAUUAUAUUUAUAAAACUGUUAUUGAAGAACUUUGAUUUAAUUAGAAUAAUUGAUUUAUUAUAGCUGAAUAAUUAUUUUUAUGAAAUUCAUACUUUAGAGAUUUACAUGAGACUAUAUAUGUGUUUGAUAAAGCUUUAUAUUAAUUUAGAAUAUUGAUUUUAUUCGAAUAUAUACUUUUGAAAUAUUAAAGUAUUUGUUGGCACUCACUUUAAAAUUAUGAAAUAUGUUUUUAUGAUUGAGAAAGUAUGAUUUGAAAAGAUUUCUGAUAAAAAAAAAUAUUAUCUGAUUGAUUUGAUUCGAUACCUUAUAUAUUUGAGAGAUUGAAGAUUCAUUGUAUUUGAAACUAUAUGUUUUGAAUUGGUUUGGGAGGCUCGUAUUAGAAAACCGUAGUUAACGGCGGUUAUGACGUUAACUUAGAUGCAUCUGACUCAGACUCCAGCUAGCAGGGGUGUUGCUAGCUUAACGUGUAGGCCACAUGUUAGAUCUGUUAUUCUGUUAGGACACACAAGAGAAAAGGGCUACCCAUAGAAGUGGAGCCGCCCAUGUGUGGACUUUUGAUUUGAUUUCUGUAUGAGAACUCCCUUAUUGAUUCACUUAUUAUUAUCAACUGCUAUUUUCUAAUUUAAAUUACUUUGAUAAUAAUGUUUAUAUAGUCUCAUGUGGAUUAUAGAUGUAUUGUCUAGUCACUGAGUUGCAAAACUCACCCCUUUUUUUUAAAAAUAUUUUUCAGGAACAAAUACUUGACUAUGUGAGAUUUUCUAAUCAAGAGUCACGAUCUGCAAUGAGUAUCUAUUUUUGUCGAGUUCCUAGAUGUAUAUGCUCCAUAUGUCACAGGCAGAAUCCAUCCAUAUUUAUUUAUUUUAUCUUUUAUUAAAAAUAUGUAAUUAUUCAUUUUAGAAAUUGUAAUUUUCUAUUUCAAAUAUUUGUUAUUUU